AUGGGGGCCUCGAGGGCAGCACCUCUGCGGGGGAAGCUCGGCAGCCUGCAGCUCUCCGAGGCCGAGAAGAAGGGGGUCAGGAUCACCGGCAAGCAGCAGCAGCAGCAGCAGCCAUGCCCCUCCCCGCAGGCGAGCGGCGGCAAGAUCCAGGCGGUGGGCAAGCUGCUCUCGGAGAAGCCGGCCAUAGCGCAGCAUGUGGGGACGUCUCUGGGGGCGGUCUGGAGCCCCUCCUUCGGGGUCAAAUGCGAAGACCUCGGCCGGAAUCGGUUCCUCUUCACCUUCCGCCACGAGGCCGACAAGGAGAAGGCUCUGGAUGCCGGGCCCUGGAGCUUCGCCGGUCAUCUGUUGGUGAUGGAGGAUUUUGCGCCCGGAGCCACCACCGUGGACGAGCUCAGGUUCGACACGGUGCCUGUCUGGGUCAGGGCGUACGGCGUCCCGGCCGGGUCGAUGGGCAGGGAGACCGGGGAGCUGGUUGGUGAGCAGGUUGGGAAGGUUCUCGAGGUGGAUACAGGCGCGAAUGCCGACUCGACGGGGGCGUUGUUCAUGCGGAUCAAAGUGAGAAUGGACAUCACCAUGCCGAUUAUGAGGUUUGUAACAUGCUUUAUUCAUGAUGAUGAAGACGAUAUGAUGGCGCUUGGGGACGAUGAAAAGGAGGAGGAGAAGAUUGUCGCCUUCACAUACGAGAAUAUCCCUGACUUCUGCUAUGGCUGUGGAAUUCUUGGGCAUACAGAGAAGUCAUGUCCGACUGGAUCCACAAGAACGGGGCCCCGGCAGUUUGGGCCAUGGCUAAGGACAGUUGUUAUCAACAAGGGGGCCUCAGGUGAAGAGAGGACCAGACGCUCAAAGGACAAAGCAAAAUUCUGGCCAAGUAGCAGUAUAAGCAGUAAACAGGGUAGCGAUGGGCCGUCUUGGCGGAAAGAUGUACCGGGCACAGAGGACGAUCAAGGGGUCCAGAACAAAGUAGAAGAUAAAGUUUAUAAGGCUGUAAAAAGUUUGAAGCAAGGUACUUUGAAGAGGAAGAAAGGAAUCCAGCAAAAUCAAUCAAAUAUUUUGACAGAAUCAAAGAAGAGGAGGGCUCAUAUAAUGAAUGUCGAUGAGGUGAUAGCAGUAGCGAACAAGGCGAAGAUGGAAACUGAUGGGGGUGAAGAAAAAGAAGAAAAUGCUAAAUCAGAAAUGCUCAACGCCGGGCUGCUGGGACAGCCUGGCGAGUCCAAAUGA
rnacentral:rRNA from 1 species